ACUCCUACGGGAGGCAGCAGUGGGGAAUAUUGCACAAUGGGGGAAACCCUGAUGCAGCCAUGCCGCGUGUGUGAAGAAGGCCUUCGGGUUGUAAAGCACUUUCAGUAGGGAGGAAGGUAGUGUAGUUAACACCUGCACUAUUUGACGUUACCUACAGAAGAAGCACCGGCUAACUCCGUGCCAGCAGCCGCGGUAAUACGGAGGGUGCGAGCGUUAAUCGGAAUUACUGGGCGUAAAGCGCAUGCAGGCGGCCUGUUAAGUCAGAUGUGAAAGCCCGGGGCUUAACCUCGGAAUUGCAUUUGAAACUGGCAGGCUAGAGUCUUGUAGAGGGGUUAGAAUUUCAGGUGUAGCGGUGAAAUGCGUAGAGAUCUGAAGGAAUACCAGUGGCGAAGGCGGCCCCUGGACAAAGACUGACGCUCAGAUGCGAAAGCGUGGGAGCAAACAGGAUUAGAUACCCCUGGUAGACUGUCA
rnacentral:rRNA from 1 species